GCGACUGUGGUGGAAUUGGUAUACACAACGGAUUUAAAAUCCGUCGCCUUUGGUAUACGGGUUCAAGUCCCGUCAGUCGCACCA
rnacentral:tRNA from 1 species